GGCUGUUGUAAGUUCACACGAGUCAGCUGAUGACGUUUCACUUGGACAGACAACCACGCAUUGUUGUAUAUUUUUUUGCGUGUGUUAUUAUUAUUUUAUUAUUAUGAAAUUCGUGAACAUUAUUAUUGAGCCUUGGCAGUCUAUUUUGUAUUUGUUUUAUUGAGGAGAAAAAAACAGACAAGAACGCAUAUUGUGUUGCGCCUAAAAAAAAAAAAAAUAUAUAUUGUGUUGCGCCUGCGCUGUGACGUUCUUUUUUCAACCGCAUUUCCAGUCAAGAGGUCAAGAAUGUUCCUGUCUGCAUCAGCUAUCCAUCUGAAAAAGAAAAGCUGGCACUCGCAAAGGAGAUUGUGUUGUUGGAUUAUGGUCUCAUUUGGUCAAAAUGAGGGACAUGUACUUGGAUUUAUAAAAAUGAGACUACAGAACAUCAGACGGAAGCUUCAAUGGAGUUGACGUGAGAGGACAUCAUCAAUAAAGAAUGCCAUUGACCAAACCUUCAGUCAUCAAAGGAGAUGGAUACAGGUGGACAUUGAGUUUUCCAGACUUACCGAUAGGAAAGAAGACAUGUUUAUCAGGAAAUGGGAGGUGACAACUAUUGAGAAACUCAGGGAAAUAGCAUCUUUAGAGAAGAAAAUGGACACCAGACAUUCAUUGAAGAAAGCUGACAGUCAAAAUAAUGAUCUUCUGCUGUGUGAAUUCUGCUGUCUCAGACCUGUGGGACAUGGUGGCGGCUGGUACCAGCGUGACCUCUUUGCUUACUAAAUGAUGAAAAGGUGUCUAAAAUCAGCUCAGCCACAGUUGGUUUCCAGCGGUUCUUCAGGACAUAUGUAAUUGUUUUAAUGAAUGAUUCUCUUGCCUUUCCACUUGAUGUUUACAAUCUGACCUGUGCGGUAGACAGACUUUUCAAAUUUACUAGCUAAGUAACCUUAAGUAUCCCUGCCAACUGUCUUCAGUUUUUUUUGGUAUGAAUAUGAUCUACCCUUGUCCCAGUCCUCUUGCAAACGAUCCAAGCCAAUGAAGUUUCAAAAUGGACCGCAAAAUUGCAGUCUGUUUUAACCAAUGCAUGCACUGUGUGGCGGUUUCCCGGACAGGGAUUAGACUAGUCCUAGACUAAAACAUUUUUAAGAGCUGUCCAAACUGAAAACAACUUGCACUGACAUAUCUUAAAAUACAUCAGUGCCCUUUGUUUUGCCUCAAAAUGCACACAGGGAAUGUUUUUAGUAAGGCAUGUUUGUUAAACCAGAUAUAUUUCCUAAUUAAACUAAGGCCCAGUCCUGGAUUAAGAUAAUCCCUGUCCGGGAAACCACCCCUAAAUAUUUUAUACUGGAAAUUUCUUUGAAUACACUUGUCAAGUUCAUUUGAAGUAUUUUUCUUAAUGUAAAAUAACAUGUUAAUGUUUCAGGACAAGGUAAGAAUUUUUGAUAACUUGCAUGUUGAAAACGAUUUCAGACAUUGUUUCAACAUGUUUAACACAUGUGCUUUUAAAUUCAAUGAAUUAUUUUAUAAAUGGUGUUUUUUUAUGUAUGAAUGUAAUGUAUGUUUGAAGUGAUUAUACUUGCACUUAAAUUUAUUUAAAUUAGCAUACA